GGUUAAGUUAGAGAAAGGGCGCACGGUGAAUGCCUUGGCACUAGGAGCCGAAGAAGGACGCGACGAACAGCGAUAUGCCUCGGGGAGUUGUAAGUAAACUUUGAUCCGGGGAUUUCCGAAUGGGGGAACCCACCAUCCGUAAUGGGAUGGUAUCCAUAACUGAAUACAUAGGUUAUGAGAAAGGUAGACCUGGGGAACUGAAACAUCUAAGUACCCAGAGGAAGAGAAAGAAAUAUUCGAUUACCUGAGUAGCGGCGAGCGAAACGGUAACAGCCCAAACCAAGGGGCUUGCCUUGGGGUUAUGUAGGACACUACACGGAGUUACAAAGAAACGAAGUAGACGAAGCGAUCUGGAAAGGUCCGCAGAAACAAGGUAACAGCCCUGUAAUCGAAACUUCGUUUCCUCCAGAGUGUAUCCUGAGUACGGCGGGACACGUGAAACCCCGUCGGGAUCCGGGAAGGACCAUCUCCCAAGGCUAAAUACUUCCUAGUGACAGUAUUUGAACCAGUACCGUGAGGAAAGGUGAAAAGCACCCCGGAGGGGAGGUGAAGAGAUCCUGAAACCGUGCCUACAGUAGUUGGAGCCCAUUAACAAGGUGACAGCGUGCCUUUGUAGAAUGAACCGGCGAGUUACGAUUACGUGCAAGGGUUAAGCUGAAGAGGCGGAGCCGCAGCGAAAGCGAGUCUGAAUAGGGCGAAUGAGUACGUGGUCAGCUGACGAAACCGUGUGAUCUACCCAUGUCCAGGGUGAAGUUCAGGUAACACUGAAUGGAGGCCCGAACCCACGCACGUUGAAAAGGUGCGGGGGAUGGUGUGGGUAGGUGAAAUGCCAAUCGAACUCGGAGAUGGCUGGUUCUCCCCGAAAUAGCUUUAGGGCUAGCCUCGAGGGAAAAGUAUUGGAGGUAGAGCACUGAUUGGACUAGGGUCCCCACAGGAUUACCGAAUUCAGUCCAAACUUAAGAUAUAAAUGUAUCCUCAAGGAGUCAGACUGCGAGUGCUAAGAUCCGUAGUCAAAGAGGGAAACAGCCCAGACCAUCAGCUAAGGUCCCCAAGUAUACGUUAAGUGGAGAAGGAUGUGGAGUUGCCCAGACAACCAGGAUGUUGGCUUAGAAGCAGCCACCAUUUAAAGAGUGCUGUAAUAGCUCACUGGUGAGUGACUCUGCGCCGAAAAUGUACCGGGGCUAAACGUAUCACCGAAGCUAUGGAUUGCACACCUUAGGUGUGCAGUGGUAAAGGGGAGCGUUCUAAGUGCUGUGAAGUCAGACCGGAAGGACUGGUGGAAGGCCCGCUUAGAAGUGAGAAUGCCAGUAUGAGUAGCGAAAAGAGUGAGAAUCCCCUCCGUCGAAAGCCCAAGGUUUCCUGAGGAAGGCUCGUCCGCUCAGGGUAAGUCAGGACCUAAGCCGGAGAGCGAAAGCGUAGGCGAUGGACAACAGGUUGAAAUUCCUGUACCACCUCCUCACCGUUUGAGCAAUGAGGGGACGCAGCAAGGUGGGUAAGCGCACUGAUGGAUAUGUGCGUCCCGGCAAUUAGGCUUGAGAAGUAGGCAAAUCCGCUUCUCGCGUGUGCUGAGUUGUGAUGGCGAGCGAAAUUAUAAUGGCAAGAAGUUCUGAUCCUACACUGCCAAAGAAAAGCCUCUAGCGAAUUGAGAGAGGUGCCCGCAUGCCGCAAACCGACACAGGUAGGCGAGAGAGAAAUUCUAGAACGCCGGGGAGAACUCUCGUUUAAAGGAAUAACAAAUGACCCGUAACUUCGGGAGAAGGGGUGCUCUGUUAGGAUGUUCGCGCCCGAAGGCCGCAGUGAAUAGAUCCAACAGCGACUGUUUAGCAAAAACACAGGUCUCUGCAAACCGCAAGGCGAAGUAUAGAGGCUGACACCUGCCCGGUGCUGGAAGAAGGUUGAAAGGAGGGUUAUCCGUAAGGGCUCUGAAUUGAAGCCCCAGUAUGGCCGUAACUAUAACGGUCCCUAAGGUAGCGAAAUUCCUUGUCAGGUAAAAGUUCGCAGCCGCACGAAUGGUGUAACGGUGGAUAUAUCUCGGCAAAGAGACCCGGUGAAAUUAUAUUACCUGUGAGGUAUUCACAGGUUACUACGACCGGACAUGGAGCCCAUGGAGCUUUACUGUAGCUUGAUAUUGGAUUUUGGUACAAUUUGUACAGGAUAGGUAGGAGCCUUUGAAACGUAGGCAUAGCUUACGUGGAGAACUGAUCGGUGGGAUACUACCCUGAUUGUAUUGAGAAUUCUAACCUAGGACCGUGAUCCGGUUCGGGGACAGUGUCAGGUGGGCAGUUUGACUGAGGCUGGUCGCCUCCUAAACAGUAACGGAGGGCGCCCAAAGGUUCCUCAGAAUGGUUGGAAAUCAUUCGUAGAGUGCAAAGGCAUAUUUAAGGAGCUUGACUGCAGGGCCUACAAGUCGAGCAGGGAUAAAGAUCAGGCUUAGAUGAUCCGGUGGUUCCGCAUGGGCAUGUCUCGCUGGAUAUCAUACCCUGGGGAUAACAGGCUUAUCUCCCAGAGUCCACAUCGACGGGAGGUUUGGCACUCGAUGUCGGCUCAUCGCAUCCUGGGGCAAGUAGGUCCCAGGGUUGGGCUGUUCGCCCAUUAAAGCCAGUACGCGAGAAACGGGUUCAGAACGUCGUGGAACAGUUCGGUCCCUAUCCGUCAUAAGCUAGGAAAUUUGAGGCUGUCCUUAGUACCCAUAAAGAGAGGACCGGGAUGGACAUACCGCUGGUGUACCAGUUGUUCCAUAGAACAUAAGCUGGAAGUAUACGUAUGGAAGGGAUAAGUGAAGCAUCUAAGCAUGAAGCCCCCCUCAAGAUGAGAUUUCCCUUGGAGUUAAUCCAGUAAGACCCCUUAAAGAUGAUGAGGUUGAUAGGUCUCGAAUUUAGAAGCACGGUGACGUGUGGAAGCAGGAGAUACUAAUCGGUCGAGGACUUAUCCCU
rnacentral:rRNA from 1 species